rnacentral:rRNA from 1 species
ACAUGCAAGUCGAGCGGGCCCUUCGGGGUCAGCGGCGGACGGGUGAGUAACGCGUGGGAACGUGCCUUCUGGUUCGGAAUAACCCUGGGAAACUAGGGCUAAUACCGGAUACGCCCUUUUGGGGAAAGGUUUACUGCCGGAAGAUCGGCCCGCGUCUGAUUAGCUAGUUGGUGGGGUAACGGCCUACCAAGGCGACGAUCAGUAGCUGGUCUGAGAGGAUGAUCAGCCACACUGGGACUGAGACACGGCCCAGACUCCUACGGGAGGCAGCAGUGGGGAAUAUUGGACAAUGGGCGCAAGCCUGAUCCAGCCAUGCCGCGUGAGUGAUGAAGGCCUUAGGGUUGUAAAGCUCUUUUAUCCGGGACGAUAAUGACGGUACCGGAGGAAUAAGCCCCGGCUAACUUCGUGCCAGCAGCCGCGGUAAUACGAAGGGGGCUAGCGUUGCUCGGAAUCACUGGGCGUAAAGGGCGCGUAGGCGGCGUUUUAAGUCGGGGGUGAAAGCCUGUGGCUCAACCACAGAAUGGCCUUCGAUACUGGGACGCUUGAGUAUGGUAGAGGUUGGUGGAACUGCGAGUGUAGAGGUGAAAUUCGUAGAUAUUCGCAAGAACACCGGUGGCGAAGGCGGCCAACUGGACCAUUACUGACGCUGAGGCGCGAAAGCGUGGGGAGCAAACAGG